GAAAGACAAGAGAGUCGACAUGUGACGCCAUAGGGGUAAGAAGCCGGGAACUAUUCUCCGUCAGGAGCUAUGACAAGAGUGAAAAUUGGGAAACAAAAAGCAGUCUUCAAUCCAGCAGCAUGGCCUCCCUGAGGAUCAAGAUGGAAAUGAAGCUGGGUCCUGACCUCAUGGAUCAAAGUCAACAUUUUAACAAGAUCUCCCAGAUUCCUGCUGUGAGUUCCUGCCCUUAUUUUCCUUCAUAAUGUACUAUAAGGUGUAAUAUGGAAUAAACCCUUUCCUCCCAAA